GGCUCACUUCCUGUGAGUGCAGGCCCGACAGUGUACGUCUAAGGAUGAGUGGCAACAGAAUGACAUGGCCAAGAUUUAGGCUAUGAAAAAAAAAAUAAGUCUCCCAUCUUGAGUCUGCUUGCCUGUGUUUUCCUCUCUUCUGUCCUCUUCCUUAUCCCUCUGCCUCCUGCUUUGCAGAAGGUCUUAUUGAGGGGACACUCGACAGGCUGGGAAGGAAGGGAGGCACACUGGAGAAGGAACUGAAACCUUCCCAGAGCUGUGCACAAGACCUCAGAAGCACUCCCAAGCUUGCUUUAUGCAGUCAAGUUGGGGGCAUUUGUUAUCCCCGCACUAAGUAACCAGCUGGAAGAAGUGCAAGGUGUCUGCCAUGUGCCCUAAAGUGAUCUAAAAGCUCCUGUUUUUGAUCAUGGCAUUCAGUUGACAGCUUCUUCUCACCGGUCUAGUUUUGAUUUCCACACAGGCUCAAAUAAUGGUGGUAAUUAAAUGGACAAAGACCUCAUAA